rnacentral:rRNA from 1 species
CUCGACUCCAUGAAGACUGGAUUCGCUAGUAAUCGCGCAUCAGCCAUGGCGCGGUGAAUACGUUCCCGGGCCUUGUACACACCGCCCGUCAAGCCAUGGAAGCCGGGAGUGCCUGAAGUGUGCAACCGCAAGGAGCGCCCUAAGGUAAAACUGGUGACUGGGGCUAAGUCGUAACAAGGUAGC